rnacentral:rRNA from 1 species
CCAAUGUCGAAAGUCUGACGGAGCACGCCGCGUGAGUGUGAAGGUUUCGGAUCGUAAAGCUCUGUUGUUAGGGAAGAACAAGUGCCGUUCAAAUAGGGCGGCACCUUGACGGUACCUAACCAGAAAGCCACGGCUAACUACGUGCCAGCGGCAACGGUAAAA